rnacentral:lncRNA from 1 species
AUGAAGACGUCCGCGCGGCGUCGCCCGGGUGACGGAAAUCAAAACAGGCAUUUCAGAAGGCCUCACGCAGGGCUGGGGGAGCCGCUCAGGGGCGGAGCACUUACCUGGCACGUGCGAGGCGGGGAGCUAAUCCGUGUCAGAGCGACGACAAGGAGCUCAACAUCAGCACAUCCUUAUGCAAAGCAAGUAACAUCUUCCUGCAAGCCUGGGAGGAAGAGCCGCACCCUGGUAUAUUUUUGCAAAACGCCACCACGUCUGGCUUCACGAAAGCCCCUGGUUCCGAGGCCGGCUCCUGCAUGCCGUGGGACGUGACCCCUCAUUCUGUUGAGGAGACCGGAGAAAAUCAGGAGAGCAGGGAGGAGGUGGGGAGGGGAGCCGUGCAGACCCCCUGGAAGGGUCUCUGGGACCCUGGACCCCCCAGGGCACUGGCCUACCUACUCCCCAGCAGGUAGGGGGUCCUGCAGGAAGUGGAGCCAUGUUAACCUCAGGGUGUCCCCUCUCUUGGGGAUGACCACCCCUGAGAGCCCAUUUUAGUGGGUACAAAAGGGGUGCAAGUGUGCACCAUUUCUAGGGUUUCGCCAGUCUCCUGAGACUCACCCUGUCCCCGAAGUGACAGCCAAGGGUAGGGGAAGGCGGGCUGCUUUGUCCCAAACAUCCUGUGAUGGCUUCUCACAAGAACCCCUCACCCAUGUAAUCAAGUCUCAUCCAGAAGCUGGAUGCUGCCCUCUGCUGCACCCCUCACGACAGCCCUCCUCGAUGCUAUUAUCUUCAUAUUACAAAUGAUGAGACUGGAGCCCAGAGAGGCAAAGCGACUUAUCCAAGGUCACACAGCAGGAUGAGGCUAUCUCUGUCUGGGAACAGCAGUGAGCAGUGUGUGCCAGGCUCUCCUUCCUCCGCACGAGGUAUUCCCUACCCCAGACCUGGGAGCCACAGUGCGAAAUCUGAAAACUCUAAGAGCUUUUCCUGUGUACACUGCAUUGCUUGUUCUGAGCACACUGAUGCAUUCAUUCAGCUUCCCCUAUAACCUACAGUCCAUGACUGUGCCCAUUUUACAGAUGAAGAAAGAGAUUUAGGGAGGCUAAGGAGCUUACCUGAGGCCACACAGUUGGGAAGCAGGCUGUGGCGGAUGAGGAGCAUUGGGGAAUCCAGUGCGUGUGGGUACAUUUUUUAAAUCGUGGUAUUUGCAUGGAAAAGUAUGGAAAAAUGGGUUCUAACUCGUUAGCUAUAGUUACUUACAGUAUUGAGAAAAUAUAUGGAAUCAUACUUCCUAAAGUCUUGUAAUGUUUGAAGCUUUAAAUCAGAAAAAUAAAAUAGAGAGGUG